UACGUAGGGUACGAGCGUUAAUCGGAAUUACUGGGCGUAAAGCGUGCGCAGGCGGUUAUUUAAGUCCGGUGUGAAAGCCCUGGGCUUAACCUAGGAAUUGCGCUUGAGACUGGAUAGCUUGGAGUGCGGCAGAGGGAGGUGGAAUUCCACGUGUAGCAGUGAAAUGCGUAGAGAUGUGGAGGAACACCGAUGGCGAAGGCAGCCUCCUGGGCCAGCACUGACGCUCAUGCACGAAAGCGUGGGGAGCAAACAGG
rnacentral:rRNA from 1 species